rnacentral:piRNA from 1 species
UGAGUUGAAGCCAUGGUCCCUACCCACCUCC